rnacentral:rRNA from 1 species
AGGAUGAACGCUGGCGGUCUGCUUAACACAUGCAAGUCGAACGGAGUAGCAAUACUUAGUGGCGGACGGGUGAGUAACGCGUGAGAAUCUACCUUCAGGACGGAGACAACAGUUGGAAACGACUGCUAACCCCCGAUGUACUGAAAAGGCAAAUAUUUAUAGCCUGAAGAAGAGCUCGCGUCCGAUUAGCUAGUUGGAGAGGUAAAAGCUCACCAAGGCGACGAUCGGUAGCUGGUCUGAGAGGACGAUCAGCCACACUGGGACUGAGACACGGCCCAGACUCCUACGGGAGGCAGCAGUGGGGAAUUUUCCGCAAUGGGCGAAAGCCUGACGGAGCAAGACCGCGUGGGGGAAGAAGGCUCUUGGGUUGUAAACCCCUUUUCUCUGGGAAGAACACAAUGACGGUACCAGAGGAAUCAGCAUCGGCUAACUCCGCGCCAGCAGCCGC